CACCUUUUCUUCCCUUAAACAAAACAACGAGCCCUAAUCUCAUUCUUUACCCUCAAUCAGCCGCCACACCUCCAGAGCCCUCUCUCCUCACUCAUCAGAAACAACAACUACAUCAAUCUGUCGCGGCCUACCACCAAUCUACGGAACCCCACCUCCUUUCUCUCCUUUCUCUUUCUUUGGCGACUUCACCAAAUGGCCAUCGCUCAACCAACAAAACCCCAAAACAGCCACCGCUUCCACCGCCGACGAAUCCAAGCCAAUCGCACCGCCGUCCAGACAAUACCGGAGCUCUGUUGGCAAACCUAACAAAAAACCACCGUCGCUGCUGCUCCAUCGACGAAAACAACGAACCAAAUGGUCCCAACAGCCGCCAACGCCCCAGCAUCAUCGAUCUGCCGCCUCCGGGCUGACCAUCGACCAGUCGCAUUUUCCUCCUCUCUCUCUCACCGCUGUGGUUUCAGUCACCUACGAAACAGCCUAACGCCUCCAUCACCAACCCACUGGUUUUCGCCGAAAUAUAUUGCAAUUUACGACAGAUUCAUAAGAAUCCGUCCAGUUGCAGAAUGAGCGACACAAAAAUAAGAGGAUGAGAAAGGAAUUGGACUUGUUGAUGAAGCAUGGAUAUAAGAAAUCAUCUUCAAAUGAUGAACGCCCAUCUCAAGAAGACAACCAAGCUCUUAUGAGGAUGAAAGUGAUGAUGACUCUGAUGACGUGAAUGAAAGUGAUUAUAAUCUUGAUAAUGUGAAUGAAAGUGAUUCUGACCCUAAUGGUUGAUAGUUUUAUUGAGGAUUUAAGUUUGAAAUGUUAUGUUAUGGACCAUUUAAAAAUCAUACAUUAUUAGUGUGGAUGUUAUGAAUUAUGUUUAUUUGUUAGCUAUAAUGGUUUACAUUAGACUUGUGUUGAAUGAUGUUUUUGA